GCUCUAGUCUCCAGGCGGCGGUGCUCAGUGGUCGGUUACUGAGGGGCCUUGUGGCAACAAGGUGACAUAGGACAAACAGCACUCAGGUGAGCACCUGGAAAAGGCUGUUGAAGCACACAGGCACUAGAACUACUUUAUGAGCAUAAUUCCUUGGACCAUAAUCGUCACCUGAGGAAGCCGCGUGAGACACCAGUCUUAGGCCCUGAGAUGUCUACAGAACCUCCAAAUACUCUGUUUUAUUUAAAGCAAGACAAAAGGGAUUCCAAAGUGAAGAGGAACGUGCCCUCCUCGAUGAACGCCUGUGGAAGCCUUUGAGCAGCCCUUUCAUGGCGGAAGAGAGGGCAACUCUGAGGUGAUGGAGCAGCGGCUAGGCAGAGGGCUGCUGAGGAAGCAGAGGGAGGAUCGCUUCAGCUCUCGGCAGGCUGGAGCCUCAGAGCAAACCUCAAGUAACUUUCUGUGGAUGCUGUGAGGGAAGGUGCACAGUUAUCUGGUGUUUUGACCUCCUCCUGGCUGAAGAUGAAGGCCCAAAACAGGAUCUUUCCCAGAAGCUGUGUUGCUUUGGCCAGGAAGGUGGCCGGUUGUCUGGAGCCGAAGAUGGCGCCACCUCAGAAGCUCUGUGGCUCUCGCCUGUACCAGAAACGGCUGGCCUCUGUAUUCCACACCGUCACCCGUGCAGGCUACCCUCCGCGGAGUCCCGGAGCCAAGGAGGCUCCCGCCGGGGCCUGAGGCACAAACCUCUAAAAUAAACCUUUAAAAAAAAUAAAAUCAAAGAGAUGGAGUCUCAGG
rnacentral:lncRNA from 1 species